ACUCCUACGGGAGGCAGCAGUGGGAAUAUUGCACAAUGGGGAACCCGUAGCUGNAGCCAUGCCGCGUGUGUGAAGAAGGCCUUCGGGUUGUAAAGCACUUUCAGUAGGGAGGAAGGUAGUGUAGUUAAUAGCUGCAUUAUUUGACGUUAGCGACAGAAGAAGCACCGGCUAACUCCGUGCCAGCAGCCGCGGUAAUACGGAGGGUGCGAGCGUUAAUCGGAAUUACUGGGCGUAAAGCGCAUGCAGGUGGUUUGUUAAGUCAGAUGUGAAAGCCCGGGGCUCAAGCCUCGGAAUUGCAUUUGAAACUGGCAGACUAGAGUACUGUAGA
rnacentral:rRNA from 1 species